rnacentral:rRNA from 1 species
CAAUAGCGUAUAUUAAAGUUGUUGCGGUUAAAAAGCUCGUAGUUGGAUUUCUGCUGAGGACGAUCGGUCCGCCCACUGGGUGAGUAUCUGGCUCGGCCUUGGCAUCUUCUUGGAGAACGUUGCUGCACUUGACUGUGUGGUGCGGUAUCCAGGACUUUUACUUUGAGGAAAUUAGAGUGUUUCAAGCAGGCGCACGCCUUGAAUACAUUAGCAUGGAAUAAUAAGAUAGGACCUUAGUUCUAUUUUGUUGGUUUCUAGAGCUGAGGUAAUGAUUAAUAGGGAUAGUUGGGGGCAUUCGUAUUUAACUGUCAGAGGUGAAAUUCUUGGAUUUGUUAAAGACGGACUACCGCGAAAGCAUUUGCCAAGGAUGUUUUCAUUGA